GUCUACGGCCAUACCACCCUGAACGCGCCCGAUCUCGUCUGAUCUCGGAAGCUAAGCAGGGUCGGGCCUGGUUAGUACUUGGAUGGGAGAAUGAUUAUCACAAAAAAACCAAAAAUGCUUGUGAGCUUGUGGAGA
rnacentral:rRNA from 1 species